rnacentral:rRNA from 1 species
UAACGCGUAGGCAAUCUGCCUCGAGGUCCGGAAUAACCCGCCGAAAGGCGAGCUAAUACCGGGUGAUGCAGCGGCUCCGCAUGGAGACAGUUGUUAAAGCCCUGUCCCCGCGAAAGCGGGGAUCAAGUGCCUCGAGAUGAGCCUGCGUCCCAUUAGGCAGUUGGCGGGGUAACGGCCCACCAAACCUACGAUGGGUAGCUGGUCUGAGAGGAUGGUCAGCCACACUGGAACUGAGACACGGUCCAGACUCCUACGGGAGGCAGCAGUAAGGAAUAUUGCUCAAUGGCCGAAAGGCUGAAGCAG